CCCCUCUCAGGAUAGCACCUGGAGAGUUUCCAGUACUCUACCAAUCUUGACUGUAGGAGGGAGAGUCAAGCGGAAAAAUACCCAUUCCAUUCCUAGCUUGGAUAGUGGCUAGCGAGUGGAAGGCAAUUGGCUACAAGU